rnacentral:rRNA from 1 species
GACAGAGGUGCCAAGCGUUAGGCGGAAUCACUGGGCUUAAAGCGUGUGUAGGCGGAGUUCUAAGUACCUUGUGAAAUCCCACGGCUCAACCGUGGAACUGCUUGGUAUACUGGUUCUCUUGGGCCACUUAGGGGCUACCGGAACAAACGGUGGAGCGGUGAAAUGCGUAGAUAUCGUUUGGAACGCCAAUGGUGAAAACAGGUAGCUGGGAGUGUGCCGACGCUGAGACACGAAAGCCAGGGGAGCGAACGGG